UAGAAGUGUCAAAGUUGGUGGAAAUGGACAAAGUAAAGUGGCUACAGUAUGAGACAAUUUGUAAAUCAUUGGUUUUUGUCUUUUGGCUCUGCAUUUGUUUGAAUAAACGUCACGACAUCUGUUGAAUUGGACUACAAAUGAUUUGAUGACUUCUAGAUGGAUAUAAGGUCCAGGGGAGAGUGCUGGAAACUGAUGCCCUGUGACACAGCCCUGGUGUUUGUGAAUAACCAUGACAACCGGAGAGGUCAUGGGGCAGUCGUGGCGUCCAUCCAUUCGUCCAGACAGUCUAUAGGUGUUCAGGUAGGAGCUGUUUUCUCAGAGACUGA
ensembl:processed_transcript